AGUCCCCCAGAACCACUCAGACCUGAGAUUGUCUUUUGGCGUGUAUGAGUUUAUCGUUGCACAACAAACUCCCCAACCCUUAGCAGGCAUGUUUUUUCUUGGAGGUUCUAUGGGUCAGGUAUUCCCGAGUGGCUCAGCUGGUUGGUUCCGGCUCAGAGUCCCUCAUGAGGCUGCAGACAAGAGGCCAUCCAGAGCUGCCGUCACAUGAAGGCUUCACGGUCGGAGAACCUACCUCCACGCGGCUCUCACUCAUCUGGCUGUAGGCAGGAGGCCUCCGUUCUUCACAGAGAGGGCUUCUCCACAGGGCUUCUUGAGUGGCCUUGCAAUAUGGCGGCCGGCUUCCCCAGCCUGAGUGAUUCCAGUUGCCACGUUGGAGGGGACCAAACGGCAAGGAACCGAAUGCUGCCAACAUCUAGUGAGUGAGCUUAGAUGCAAAUCCUUCCCCAGCCAGCCUGCGAAUGAGACCACAGCCCAGGCCGACAGCCUGUGAGAGACCCUGAGCUGGAGGAGGCCACGCCCAGACUCCUGCCCCACAACAACCGGGCCACAGCAAUGUGCUCAAGCUGACAGCACUGUCCUCAGCACCAGCCCUACACACUACUGAGUGCCACAUUCUCCAAAGCAGGUCUGUGACCUAAGGCUGAGGCCAGCUCGGCAAAGGCAGCCCUUUUCUAGCAUCUAACCUGAGUCUGGUGGUUUACUUUCCCGACAUGAUGGCAGAAGGCAAAGCCCCGUGCUUGAAGCAGUUCAGAACGGUGAUGGGAACAGGAGAGCAGCCUUCAAAUGCUGUAUCCCAGGCACGUGGGGCUCGUCCCUGACUCACCACCAACCUUUCCACUCUACACCCACCUGCAUCUUAUAGUAAUUCCGGAUGCCAGCCCAUCGUCAACUCACCAGGCCUUGCUCAUGCAGUGUCCUCUUCCCACGUCUGCCUCGCUCACGUAGCCCUGCGAUUAGUGACUGGCAUCUUGUAACGAUCAGUAUUUAUUUGUUGCAUGACCAAACGGAGAAAGGACAGUCUCAGAUGUCCUUGUUCCUCCUUCUGGGGCCCAGAGGAGGACAUUCCUGGGGUCCUCCUAGAGGAGACAGAGGUCAGGAAUACCUCUGCAGGGCACCGAUGUGGCUGAGGGUGCCCACGUGGGUGUCGGUCCAUAAGAGGAAUUGACUCCUGGCCUCAGAAGCUGUGCCACUCGCCCAUGUGUCUUCAUGCUGCUAAGGAGCUUCUGGGAGUGGCGCAUUGUAGUUUCGUGGUUGUGUUUUGAAAAGGAAUCCUCAUCUUUUGAGAGCCUCAAAUCAGCGUGUUUGCAGAUGAAAUGAUCCAAUGUCGGGGAUUUGCUUCAAAGUCAUGGCAGUCUCUAAGACGACAAUGAUUCCCCGGGACCAGCUUAUUAAAAGCAAAAAAAAAUCCAGUGGCAGAGGGGACGUGGGGGACCUGGAUGAGAUCUGUGAAGCCUCGCUAUGAGAACCCCAGGCCCGUGGAGGUCCAUGGGGGUCCCCGAAGGCAGAGCUGAUGCUGACCUGUACCCCCAUCUGGACAACGGAUGGCCCUGAUCCUCUCUGCUCAGAAAUGCCCAGUGCGACGGACGGAUGUGUGUGUCCCAACCGCCCCCCCAAGCAGGUCCACAAGGAGCCCAAACCCACCAAGACAUGCAGCGUGACGAGCUCUGGGCCACAUUCUUCAUGCUCGCAACCUCCCGAUGGGGCCCGCCGUGCACAAAGCGGCCCAGUGAGAGAACACACCCGCCUUCCCAGCCCUGGCUUCCAGAUGGUGCCGGCCUGGCCUCCAGGUUUCCACCGUGGGGAAGGGAUGGCCUCCCCGCCCUCUGGAGUCCUCGAGACCCGCCUGUUCCAGGCUCUGGCCUGGUGGCGGAGAGGGGAAUGCUUUUUCCCCGCCUUCCUCCGGGCUCCGUGACACAGGCACCUGGGUCACAGAUGUGUCCCGCAGGGAGACAAAGGUGGCGAUGACCUAACCACCCCCACAGCGGGCAGUUCCUUCAAAAGGCGUGAGUCCCCAGCUCUUUCGGAAAGCAGCUCGGCGGAGCGUAUCAGGGGCCUGGAAAGGUGGACGCUUCCCUCUCCAGCGAUCACGCUUCUGGGAAUUUGCCCGAAGGAACUAAUCCUAAAAAAAGAGAAAAGAAAGACCACACACCCAGGGAUAUCUACCAAGGUGACAAGUACAAUAGGAAAUCAUUGGGUGCGACCGGUAGGUUGUCACCCUUGUAGGCAUUUUAAAAAUGAAGUCAGGGAGGCUCUUUAUGGAAAAUAUGGACUCUGUAAUGCCAAACAGAAAACAGAAAACACAAUGGCCAUUGCGGGGUGAGGGGCGCCUGUUCCGAUUUCGAAAAUGAAGACUGACGUCUUAAGGCGUGUUUCCUUUUUGGAUGGUCCCGUGGCUUUCUGGAGGGGAAGAGAAGGACGAGUGGAAAAAACCCGGGGAGGCCCUGGAAACCCUCUGGGAGGGAGCGCCCCUCGGGACAGGGCUUUGACCUUUUCCACAUCAAAAACUAGUUGACAGUUCAGACAGCCCAGCCUCUUUCCUGGAGACUGAGGCAGGCAUGUUUAUGUUUUCUAAAAGGUUUUAAAAGUUCUUUAUGUUAUUGCAAAAGCCAAGCAAUGCGUGCUCGUUGUUUAAAAAAAAAAAAAAAAGCACGGAAUUGUAUUAAGUAAGGCUGCUUCCCGUGGCCUCCUUCUCUUCAGAGGGGGCCACCUUGAGUCCUUUCUUUCUUUUCAUUUUUUUCCGUUUCCAGGGUUUUCAAACUUUUUUUUUUUUUAGCUCCCAGCCGCAGUGAAAAAAUAGAUUCUGCAUUGUAACCCAGUAUACGCGGAUGCUGGCGUAUAACUAAAUAGAAAACUUAUGCAAUGCUACUUAUUAUAAGAAAUGCCAUCUGGGGUUGUCUCUUGGAUGCUGUCCUUCCCCGUCCUGUCCUGUCUGUCCUGUCCUAUCUCAUCCCAUCCCGUUCUGUUUAAAAGGCAAGGUGGCUGGUCAUGACCCAGUCAUAUGGCUUCAUGUCCCACCGCUUGGCGUGACCUUCGAGGAAGCGGGUACCAUACAUGUUGCCGUUCGGUGUCCAUUGCCCAGCCCCACCCCACCCCCUCCCUGCUCUACAGCUUGUCUUUCCCCCUGGAGGAUUUCACAGCCCGAUCUCUGUAACUGGACAGACGGGGCCGGGGCCAUUUUGUCCUCCUAAAUGGUGGCAGAGGAGUUUCCGCACUGAUUUUUCAUGAUGGGUUUGUCCGGCUCCCUUUUAAUAGCCGUUUGCAUCGUCUCCACUCUGGGCUGUGGAGGCUCCGUGGGGUGACCCAUCUGUGCCCAGCCACCGGGACAUCUGUGCAGCGAGUGAGUUCUCAGUGCGGAUCGCCCACAGGUCUACAAGCAAGCGCCUCUCCGACAUCUCCACGGCCGCCGGGAUUGGCCCAGAGAGGGGCUCAGGGAGAUAAGGUGGCCCAGAUGCUGGAACCUCUCCGGACCUCAGUCUCCCCAUCUCGAGAAUAUGAGGGUUUUUGCAAGGAGACAAUGAGAUGACGAAUGUAUGAGAGCUUUGCCCAGGGCCUUGCAGCCAGCGGGGGCACAGUUGGUGUUUCCCAUCACCACCACCACCACCACCACGGGCAAGCUUCUGGUCCCCUGGCCCCAUUUCCCCAUCUGCGUGUCUCAGCAGACUCGCUACUCCAAAGGGCUUCUUCAAGGAUGAGUCAUGUGAUGUGUGCAGCAACCAUGUUUUGAAAAUGGAAAAGGUGUUAUGGAAACAUUAGUUACCAGAACUUGUUGUUAUGAAUAGCACAAACCAGCCAGUGGAGGCUAUUUCUGGCUACCGAAUUCCUUCUUUGAAGAUGAGCUUUUUUAAACAAGCAAUUUGUAUGUGUCCUGUAAAUAUCAGAAAAAUGGCCGGGAACAAAAGGAGACAAAGAAUCCCUCCUCAGAGGCUCCCGUUGGCGGUGUUCUUUAUCCCUGAGAAAGUGUCAAGGCAUUUUCCCAGGGUGUGUGUGUGUGUGUGUGUGUGUGUGUGUGUGUAUCUUUUCCCCCCUCUUUUAACAACAACAAAAAAAUGGGAUCGUUCUCUGCAUUCUCCAAGCAGCUCGUUCUCUCCUGGCUGCUGUCAUUUCUGAUGUCUCAGAGCACAGCCCGAGGGCGGCUCUCCCUUUCUGUCUGCCCGUGUGAUUCCGGGGUAUCGGCGCAUGUGUCUUCACGGCCCGGAUCUCGUGCCGAGACUUUUUGGGUUGAGCACAACAGCGGACUCUUCAGUGGGAACAGAAACAACCACAGAUGUCAUGAAAAGCCAUGUGGCCCCCUUUGGCUGUGUCCUAACAGGGCAUAGACAGGAAACUGAGGCCCAGAGUGGGUGACUUUUCCAAAGGCACACCGUGUAUCUCGGGCCAUCCGGAUGCGUCUG